UACAGAGGUCUCAAGCGUUGUUCGGAUUCAUUGGGCGUAAAGGGUGUGUAGGUGGCUUCGUAAGUCCGUUGUGAAAGUCAAAGGCUCAACCUUUGAAUGCCGAUGGAUACUGCGAAGCUAGAGUACGGAAGAGGCGAGUGGAAUUCCUGGUGUAGCGGUGGAAUGCGCAGAUAUCAGGAGGAACACCAAUAGCGAAGGCAGCUCGCUGGGACGUUACUGACACUAAGGCGCGAAAGCGUGGGGAGCGAACAGG
rnacentral:rRNA from 1 species